rnacentral:rRNA from 1 species
UCUACGGGUGGCAGCAGUGGGGGAUAUUGCACAAUGGGGGGAACCCUGAUGCAGCGACGCCGCGUGGAUGAAGGAGUGCUUCGGCAUGUAAAGCCCUAUCGACAGGGAAGAAGCAAGACGGUCGCUGACUAAGAAGCCCCUGCUAACUACGUGCCAGCAGCCGCGGUAAUACGUAGGGGCCGAGCGUUAUCCGGAUUCACUGGGUGUAAAGGGAGCGUAGACGGCCAUGCAAGCCAGGGGUGAAAGCUCGGGGCCCAACCCCGGGACUGCCCUUGGAACUGCAUGGCUGGAGUGCGGGAGGGGCAGGCGGAAUUCCUGGUGUAGCGGUGAAAUGCGUAGAUAUCUGGAGGAACAUCAGUGGCGAAGGCGACUAUCUGGCACAUAACUGACGUUGAGGAGCGAAAGUGUGGGUAGCAAACAGGAUUAGAUACCCCAGUAGUC